UACGUAGGUGGCAAGCGUUGUCCGGAUUUAUUGGGCGUAAAGCGCGCGCAGGUGGUGCGGUAAGUCUGCCGUGAAAUCUCCCGGCUCAACUGGGAGGGGGCGGUGGAGACUGCCGGGCUGGAGGGACUCAGAGGCCGGUGGAAUUCCCGGUGUAGUGGUGAAAUGCGUAGAGAUCGGGAGGAACACCAGUGGCGAAGGCGGCCGGCUGGGGGUGCCCUGACGCUGAGGCGCGAAAGCGUGGGGAGCGAACCGG
rnacentral:rRNA from 1 species